UUCUAAAUAAUCUUCCUUCAGCUCUUGCCUUUUCUAUACACAAGUUGCUUGUUUAAAUUGCACAGAGCUCGAUUUCCUUGCUACAUCAAGCAGGAGUCCUGGCUGCUCUGGUGGAAGUGGACCUGGAUUUCUUUCAUGAACCUGGGUUUUCUCUUCUUCUGAGGACAUGUACCUAAAAUUAACCCUCAUCCAGAAUGUCACGGAGAUUAGCUGUUCCAUUUUGGAGACCAGAGACUCCCAGAAGUUCGAAUUCUCUUACAAACUGGAGCUCCUUGGCUCCAUGCUGGACUUCAUUGAAAAGGAACCACGGGAUACCCUGGCAUCUCCAGUUCGCUACAAGGCAAUUCUUGCCAUUGGACAUCUGAGCAAACUCAAACCAUCUUUGACCUUGGAGGAAAACCGUGAGCUCCUUGAUCAGUGUUUCAAAAGUUUGUUUCCCCUCCCUUUCCUUGGAGAAGAUGAUGAAAGAAGAAGGCGAGACAGCAAAGAAUGCUCUGCCUAUACAGUCACUGUACAUAGAGUCCCUGGAAGCCCUUGGCAAGCCAAUGAAGACUUUGCUGGAGGAAGAACCAACCGCAAACUGGUUCUAAAAAUGUUUCAACUACUAGAGACAUGGCUCCAUUCAGGGAAGGAGUGGGAGAGAGAAAGGGCCUUGCAGGCCAGCAUCCAGCUGCUGACUGCCUAUCAAGAGACAGUUCAUAGCACACCCCGAGGACCUUUGGAGUUGUAUGGAGAAAGCCCUAUAGCAGCGAGAGUUCUGAAGAGGAUGAGGGAGAAGCCAAGGGAAUUCCUUUGGCCCAGCCAUUGAUGGAUAUGCCAGAACCCAAACCCGAAACCCAACCGCUCAUGUAACACCCCGAUGAGCAUGGUGGUCUCUUGUCGUCCGGCACGCUGGAGGAGGAAGGCGAUCAUGGCUUGGGGGAGGCACUGGCAGACAAGGUGAAUGGAAAAGAUGUCGCUCAGCUCGACGAUGCCUUUCUAGAGGACCGGAGGCCCUGGACAGCAUUGCAUCAAGCAGCGAAGCUGAACCGGGACCACCUUGUUUUUGCUCAACGCUGCUAGAAAUUGUUGAUGAUGACUCCAAGGAUGACAGCUAUGAGUUUAGGAGGAGGCUUGGCAUGGAACUCGCUGAGCUAGUGCCAUGUCACGAGCGUAAAAAUGUUAUACGGACUAUUGUAUGCAUUGCUGUUUAUGCUGUUCUUAAUCACUGUCUUAGGGAAAAGCUUUCUGAAAAUUGUGAGGGCUGUGUCAUAGAUGCCCCAGCCCAAUGGCACCAUGACUGUGUGACUUGGACUUCAAUGGAUAGAAACUGCUAGCUCUGAAGCCUGUGUGCUGAGCUGUGUUUGGAAAGCUUAUUGAACACUAUUAUUAGCAUAGGUUAUGCUAUGCAACGUCUGUGCCUAACCCAAGAACAUUUUGCGCAAGGGGUGACCUUGAGAAAUGCUGUGCAAUUCAGUGGAGAUCCUGACCAUGUUUUAAAGAAAAUGCCCAAACCGGAAGAUGCCUGCUUACAGCGUUACAUUGACCGUCUGGUCUGCACAAAAAGUGACAGAACCCUGCUUAAGAAAAAGACUAAUUGUAAGAAAUCUAAAAGGAUUAAGUUAGAGAAUGAUGAGGGGACAACCAUGCAAUAUAACACUUGGUCGCUGUAAAUUUUAAGAAAUCUAUUGAAAAGGGCUUUGUGACUAUCUGUGUUUCUGUUAGAAGGUCUCUGGCCCUUAAGUGAGCUAAAAGUUUUAAUGGAGCAUCUGGG